rnacentral:misc_RNA from 1 species
AAAAUAGUGAGGGCACCUUUUACUAUGAUUUAAAUGGCGUGAUUACGUUAUGUGAGAGCGAUGAGUCACUAUUUUCUUAACGGGAAUAGACAAAAAAUCGAGUUAAGUAUCAAGCCUGACAAGCUGUUAACGUUAAACCUACAUCUAAGCACUAGGAAGAUUCGUAAUUACUUAAGAAUUAUUUUAAUAAAUUAAUAAUUAAAGUAAAACGCAGCGUUCAACCGACUAGUUUGAAAUAUUACUAAUAUAAUUGGAAAUAACUCAAAUCGACAACAUUAUUUUGAUAAUUUUUGAAUUACCUCUGAAUGAAUUUUUCGAAAUUGCACAGUAAUAACAAAUAUUAUUUUUUGUUCUUUUUUUUAAUUGAAUGAGAUUAUUAAAAAAAAUCCAAUUGUGAAUUAAAAAAUCGAAAUAUAUAAUGAAAUAAUAAAUUUUUAAUAAAAUUUUACUUUAUAUUAACAAAUUCAUAUUGUAUGCUGCGUUUUAAAAAUAAAUUAUGAGUAGUAUUUAUUUAAUUAAGGCGACUCCAUCAACCUUUACCGUACGUCCCUUGUCCCUUCCUCAGAAAACAAUCUUAAUACAUAAACAUAUAAAAUAUGUACAUAAUGAAAUGUAAAUGUGUGUGAAAUGAAUGAAUGAAUGUUAUUUUUUUAAUGAAUACAAUAUUAAACAUUUUCGUUAAAAGAAAAUUAUAAUAUAUU